GCCGGGUGCGGUGGCUCCCGCCUGUAAUCCCGGAAUCUUGGGAGGCCGAGGCGGGUGGAUCACCUGAGGUCGGGAGUUCGAGACCAGCCUGACCAACACGGUGAAACCCCGUCUCUA
ensembl:misc_RNA Metazoa_SRP Metazoan signal recognition particle RNA